AAGUCCCGCAACGAGCGCAACCCUUGAUCUUAGUUGCCAGCAUUUAGUUGGGCACUCUAAGAUGACUGCCGGUGACAAACCGGAGGAAGGUGGGGAUGACGUCAAAUCAUCAUGGCCCUUACGAGUAGGGCUACACACGUGCUACAAUGGCGUAUACAGAGGGCGGCAAGCUAGCGAUAGUGAGCGAAUCCCACAAAGUACGUCGUAGUCCGGAUUGGAGUCUGCAACUCGACUCCAUGAAGUCGGAAUCGCUAGUAAUCGUGGAUCAGAAUGCCACGGUGAAUACGUUCCCGGGCCUUGUACACACCGCCCGUCACACCAUGGGAGUGGGCUGCACCAGAAGUAGAUAGCUUAACCUUCGAGAGGGCGUUUACCACGGUGUGGUUCAUGACUGUUGUUAAUUAAUGGAAUUAUACCAAUU
rnacentral:rRNA from 1 species